rnacentral:rRNA from 1 species
UGAGUAACCUGCCCUUAACUCUGGGAUAAGCCUGGGAAACUGGGUCUAAUACCGGAUAUGACUCCUCAUCGCAUGGUGGGGGUGGAAAGCUUUUUGUGGUUUUGGAUGGACUCGCGGCCUAUCAGCUUGUUGGUGAGGUAAUGGCCCACCAAGGCGACGACGGGUAGCCGGCCUGAGAGGGUGACCGGCCACACUGGGACUGAGACACGGCCCAGACUCCUACGGGAGGCAG